GUUAUGGAGGGGUAAGGGGGGGUGUUAUGGAGGGGUAAGGGGGGUGUUAUGGAGGGGUAAGGGGGGGGUUGCAUGAACAGCUGAACAAAACCCUGCCGAACAACAAACAAACUAAAACUUCACAAAUUGUUGUCAUAAUAUAUGCGCAAACCGUUUGGACUGGGAAGCAUGCGAUAGGCUUAAAAGGUGGGGGGUGUUAUGGAGGGGUAAGGUGGGGGGUGGGGGGGGUCUGACCAAGUCUUCUAUCUGAAGUGUCAGUCAGUGAAAAGGUCUCAGAAACAGAGCUAUCGAAGCUCUCCAGUGUGUUUCAGUUUAUACACACACACACACACACACACACACACACACACACACACACACACACACACACACACACACACACACACACACACACACACACACACACACACACACA